UAAGCCUGCAGAGCUCUGGUUCAUAGCGUUGGCCGAACUUGUGCCGGUGAAGCCUUUUGCUUACAGGUUUCUGGAAACCACAAUAGUCCCGUAGCCUGCGUCUCCCAAAGGGAAGAGGGUGGGGUUUCUCCCAGACAGAACGGGGAACACGAGAGUGGACAGGACAUCUGUGCUGUGGACGGUUUUUAGGCCUCUUCCCUGAGAUUGCCCUGGCACCCAGCAGCCUCUUUCUGGCAUUUUCUUCUUCCCAGAUAAAGGCUGUCAGAGUUUCUGAGCAGCAUGGAGGUCCUGGUUUUAUUUCCAGAGUGAAGUUUUAAAGGGCCUUGGCAGCCUAGGUGCUGUGGAGCGGCCGUGGGGCCGGGACAAGGGUCCAGGAGCCUGCACACAGGAGGGACAGAGGGAUGUGACCGGGGAGGGGGGUCCUCUGCUAGAGGGAAUUUCUGAGAGUGACCCCCAGGACCGCACCCCCAGAGAUUGGGUCUCACUAAUCUGGCGCUGAAGGCCAGGUGCCAAUGAGGGCAGAAUUAUAGGGGGACGCGAGAGGGAGGGGAAGUCCCAAUUCAGAUGGUGGGAGAACCCUGACCGUCCUCCAUAGUGACCUGGGGUCGUGAACAGACGUUUGCGAUUGCCUUUAGGGACCCGCCGUCAGGUCUCCGUGGCAGCUGUACUGCCACCGUCCCUGCCAUCCCUCUGCUUCCUCUGGUUUGGGUGUAAGGGCUCUGUCUCCUUCACCUCCCCAGCCCGUCCUUCUGCAUGACCUUCUCGCUGCACGUGUCCUCCAUGAGCCGCUCUGGUGCACUAUCCCCCCCGCCCUCGAGCCAUGUGCUUGUCGUGUCCCAUGGGCCCCUUUGGUCGCUGUGCCCUGAGGUCCCUCAGGGAGGAGAUGGGUCUGAGGGUCUGGCACACGGGGAGCUCCUGGUGCGCAGACACUCUCAGGCAUGUUCCCCACGGGGUGGAAGGUGUUGCUUGGUGCCCACUGGAGCCCAGCCCUGUUCUGAUGUGGCCCCUUCUACAGCCUCCCGGAGCUGGCUCCUACCCCGUCGACCUUUCCCCGGCCUGUGCCUGCUGGGGAGCUGAGCGAGGCCCUGCCGUCCAACCAGGUGCGGUGGUCUGACUGCCAGGUCUCCAGCGAUGUCUUCUGGGUGGCCAAUGUGCUCCUUGAGCUUUCGGGGGGCAACAGGGGCUGAGUUGCCCCCGGGAGCCAGGCCAGCAUCCCAGGGAAGACAGGUGUGGACAUUCGACCGUUCAGUACAAGUUACAGAACCUCAUCCUGAUGAAAAGAGGUUCCCGUGUUCCCUGGGGGCUCUGCUGGGAGGUGUGUGCGUCCCUGGUCUCCGCCGUGUUUAUGCAGUUGUUUGGCAGCUCCCGAUGUUGGAGGAAGCGUUUGAGAAAUGUUUGUGGAUCCCAAGUCGAAGGGGUGUGUUCCACUCAGGCCACGGCAGACGUUAGUGCCACCCCUGAGCAGUUGUGGGCAGGAGACUGUUCCCCUGCCGGCCACCCUCCUGCCCGCCCUGCGCCAGGCCAGACUCCCCCCACCUAACGUGGUGAGUGGGAUGUGGAAGCGUUCUGUCAAUUCUGUGCCUGUGGUGCCUCUCCAAGUGGCGUGGGGUGUCCCAGCAGGGUGGUGGGUGCCUUUCAGUCCACGGCUGUAAUCCGUUAUGUUUGCCACAUGUUCUGUUCAAUUACAUUAAAGUUUCAUGGUCUGGA